GUGCCAGCAGCCGCGGUAAUACGGAGGGGGCAAGCGUUGUUCGGAAUUACUGGGCGUAAAGGGCGCGUAGGCGGUCGGUCGCGUCAGGUGUGAAAGCCCCGGGCUCAACCUGGGAGGUGCACUUGAUACGGGCCGGCUGGAGUCCGAGAGAGGUGAGUGGAAUUCCCAGUGUAGAGGUGAAAUUCGUAGAUAUUGGGAAGAACACCAGUGGCGAAGGCGGCUCACUGGCUCGGAACUGACGCUGAGGCGCGAAAGCGUGGGGAGCAAACAGGAUUAGAUACCCUGGUAGUCC
rnacentral:rRNA from 1 species